rnacentral:rRNA from 1 species
AUUGAACGCUGGCGGCAGGCCUAACACAUGCAAGUCGAGCGGAUGAAGGGAGCUUGCUCCUGGAUUCAGCGGCGGACGGGUGAGUAAUGCCUAGGAAUCUGCCUGGUAGUGGGGGAUAACGUCCGGAAACGGGCGCUAAUACCGCAUACGUCCUGAGGGAGAAAGUGGGGGAUCUUCGGACCUCACGCUAUCAGAUGAGCCUAGGUCGGAUUAGCUAGUUGGUGGGGUAAAGGCCUACCAAGGCGACGAUCCGUAACUGGUCUGAGAGGAUGAUCAGUCACACUGGAACUGAGACACGGUCCAGACUCCUACGGGAGGCAGCAGUGGGGAAUAUGGGACAAUGGGCGAAAGCCUGAUCCAGCCAGGCCGCGUGUGUGAAGAAGGUCUGCGGAUUGUAAAGCACUUUAAGUUGGGAGGAAGGGCAGUAAGUUAAUACCUGGCUGUUUGGACGUUACCAACAGAAUAAGCACCGGCUAACUUCGU